UAGACCGCCUGGGGAGUACGGCCGCAAGGUUAAAACUCAAAUGAAUUGACGGGGGCCCGCACAAGCGGUGGAGCAUGUGGUUUAAUUCGAUGCAACGCGAAGAACCUUACCUGGUCUUGACAUCCACGGAAGAAUCCAGAGAUGGAUUUGUGCCUUCGGGAACCGUGAGACAGGUGCUGCAUGGCUGUCGUCAGCUCGUGUUGUGAAAUGUUGGGUUAAGUCCCGCAACGAGCGCAACCCUUAUCCUUUGUUGCCAGCGGUUAGGCCGGGAACUCAAAGGAGACUGCCAGUGAUAAACUGGAGGAAGGUGGGGAUGACGUCAAGUCAUCAUGGCCCUUACGACCAGGGCUACACACGUGCUACAAUGGCGCAUACAAAGAGAAGCGACCUCGCGAGAGCAAGCGGACCUCAUAAAGUGCGUCGUAGUCCGGAUUGGAGUCUGCAACUCGACUCCAUGAAGUCGGAAUCGCUAGUAAUCGUGGAUCAGAAUGCCACGGUGAAUACGUUCCCGGGCCUUGUACACACCGCCCGUCACACCAUGGGAGUGGGUUGCAAAAGAAGUAGGUAGCUUAACCUUCGGGAGGGCGCUUACCACUUUGUGAUUCAUGACUGGGGUGAAGUCGUAACAAGGUAACCGUAGGGGAACCUGCGGUUGGAUCACCUCCUUACCUGAAAGAAGC
rnacentral:rRNA from 1 species